CCUACGUGAGGCAGCAGUGGGGAAUUUUGGACAAUGGGGGAAACCCUGAUCCAGCCAUGCCGCGUGUAUGAAGAAGGCCUUAGGGUUGUAAAGUACUUUUGUUAGGGAAGAAAAGCUAGUUUUUAAUAAAAAUUAGUGAUGACGGUACCUAAAGAAUAAGCACCGGCUAACUACGUGCCAGCAGCCGCGGUAAUACGUAGGGUGCAAGUGUUAAUCGGAAUUAUUGGGCGUAAAGCGAGUGCAGACGGUUACUUAAGCCAGAUGUGAAAUCCCCAAGCUUAACUUGGGACGUGCAUUUGGAACUGGGUGACUAGAGUGUGUCAGAGGGAGGUAGAAUUCCACAUGUAGCGGUGGAAUGCGUAGAGAUGUGGAGGAAUACCGAUGGCGAAGGCAGCCUCCUGGGAUAACACUGACGUUGAGGCUCGAAAGCGUGGGGAGCAAACAGGAUUUAGAUACCCGGGUAGUC
rnacentral:rRNA from 1 species